rnacentral:rRNA from 1 species
GGCCGCGAAUUCGCCCUUAGGGUUUGAUCAUGGCUCAGGAUGAACGCUGGCGGCGUGCCUAAUACAUGCAAGUCGAGCGAGGCCCUUCGGGGCCUAGCGGCGGACGGGUGAGUAACACGUGGGUAACCUGCCUGUAAGACUGGGAUAACUUCGGGAAACCGAAGCUAAUACCGGAUAAUUUCGAGCAUCGCAUGAUGCUUGAUGGAAAGACGGCUUCGGCUGUCGCUUACAGAUGGACCCGCGUCGCAUUAGCUAGUUGGUGAGGUAACGGCUCACCAAGGCGACGAUGCGUAGCCGACCUGAGAGGGUGAUCGGCCACACUGGGACUGAGACACGGCCCAGACUCCUACGGGAGGCAGCAGUAGGGAAUCUUCGGCAAUGGGCGAAAGCCUGACCGAGCAACGCCGCGUGAGCGAUGAAGGCCUUCGGGUCGUAAAGCUCUGUUGUUAAGGAAGAACAAGUACGAGAGUAACUGCUCGUACCUUGACGGUACUUAA